rnacentral:rRNA from 1 species
UUCCGGUUGAUCCUGCCGGAGGCUACUGCUAUUGGGAUUCGACUAAGCCAUGCGAGUCAAGGUGUCUUCGGACGCCGGCAUACGGCUCAGUAACACGUAGGUAACCUACCCUCAGGACUGAGAUAACCCCGGGAAACUGGGGCUAAUAUUAGAUAGAUAAAAGGUACUGGAAUGUUCUUUUAUCCAAAGCUUUUGCGCCUGAGGAUGGGCCUGCGCCCGAUUAGGUUGUUGGUGGGGUAAUGGCCCACCAAGCCUACGAUCGGUACGGGCAGUGGGAGCUGAAGCCCGGAGUUGGGGACUGAGACAAGGCCCCAGGCCCUACGGGGCGCAGCAGGCGCGAAACCUCUGCAAUGCGGGAAACCGUGACAGGGGGGUCCCAAGUGCUCAUGCAAUGCAUGGGCUGUUCUUUGGUCUAAGUAACCAGAGGAGUAAGGGCUGGGCAAGACCGGUGCCAGCCGCCGCGGUAAUACCGGCAGCUCAAGUGGUAGCCGCGAUUAUUGGGCCUAAAACGUUCGUAGCCGGAUAAGUAAGUCUUUGGUUAAAUCCUGCGACUUAACCGUGGGAAAUCUAGAGAUACUGCUUGUCUUGAGACCGGGAGAGGUUGGAGGUACUCCCAAGGUAGGGGUGAAAUCCUGUAAUCCUGGGGGGACCACCUGUGGCGAAGGCGUCCAACUGGAACGGGUCUGACGGUGAGGGACGAAACCUAGGGGAGCGAGCCGGAUUAGAUAUCCGGGUAGUCCUAGGCGUAAAUGAUGCGAGUUAAGUGUGGGGGCAUCCACGAGAUGGCCCUGUGCUGUAGGGUAGCCGUUAAACUCGCUGCCUGGGGAGUACGGUCGCAAGGCUGAAACUUAAAGGAAUUGGCGGGGGAGCACCACAAGAGGUGGAGGCUGCGGUUCAAUUGGAUUCAACGCCGGG